UCUCCAGGUAACGCUGCCGGUUCCAGGAAUAGAGCUGCUAUGCGCCUUCUGAAGUCCGUGAAAUAUUGCGCAAUCAGGUGGUUCGAUAAAGCUUAUUCCCGGGCAGUAUACUUGCCCGGUCGAAAUGGGAAAUUGAAUGUCCCGGCAUUUUUCACGGAAUAUUCUCAAUAUUACAACUCUCGUUAUCCGCUCAGAACUUAUUAACUUCGAAUACACCUGUAUUCUCCCGAACAAGGAUAAUUUUUGAUGAUUUAUUAUUUCCAUUUAAGUGAUAAAGAAGUGAAGAUUCCACAUACAAAAAUUGUCAUGUUAUAUUCAACAAGUUGGGAGUUGAUAGGUGGGGCCAAGACAUUUUACUAUAACAUUGUGUGCAUCAAGUCAUAAUCCUGAUGAGAGUGAACUGGAGCAGAGAAAUUCUUCAUUCACACUCUCAACAUCUGAAUGUGAAAAUCAAGCAAGCAAGGUGGAGUUCCUUGAACCGAAUACGGAUAAAAUGCCCACUAAGAAGAGGCAUCAGAACCUGAAAUAGCAGGACAUAUUUUGAAACGGAUGAUGAAAGUACAAAGCAGGCAAAAAUUCGAACCAAGUUUAAGAACAUUUGCUCUGACACUGGCUUUUUAUUCUCCUAAAUCUUAUAAUUAUGCAAGGAGAACGUUCAAUGGGAGUUUUCCACAUUUGGGAACAAUUUCUUAAUGGUAUCAAGUUGUCGAUGGAAGUCCAGUGUUUACUCAACUGAAAGGACUGAGCUAGUUAAGAAAUGUCUAAAAUUUAUCUGUGAAAGUGGAAUUAUUAUAACUUCCCUUACUUUUGAUGGCACCGCAACAAAUAUCUCUAUGGCAGAGAAAUUGGAUGUGAAUUUCACUCCAUUUUGAAAACUUUUUUUGUGAACCCAAUAUCAAUAAAUAUUCUCAUUUUUUUAGAUUGCUGUCACAUGUUAAAAUUAGUCAGAAAUUGUUUUGCUUCACAAAGUGUCAUAAAAGAUUUUUAUCGAAGAAGCAUAGAGUGGAAUUAUGUUUCUAAAUUAUGAAAUAGUUGAAAUUCAGAAUAAUAAAUAAAAAAAUGAAGGUCAUGGUACCAGGUUGAGCAUCGUUAGGGUGAGCUCUCGAUAGUAUCUGUAAUUAAAGUGGUUAAAUUGACUACAAGAAUUCAGAUCUUAAUGUCAUAGUGUAUAUUUAUCAGAUAAUGGUGAAUGGAAAUAGUACUAAGUAAGUUCAAAAACGAGUCAGAAAACUAGAAGUUAUUCUAAUUCUGUUACAAUUGAUGAGGGCGUGGUGGAACUUCUAACCAAUAAAUGAUUUACAAAAGUGAACCUCAAUAUUGAAGGACAAAUAGACAAAAUAUGUAUAAAGUUCGGUAAAUUGGAUACCAAGAUGGAAAAUAUGAUAAAUUAAAUGUCUUCAGAUAUGAUAUAUAAAUGAAUAAAUAAAGAAGGACUACAUGCAGCAACCAAACUUAGACUGAGGCACUUGCAAUGGUCAAGGGAAAAAAUAAAAGUUCUUUUAGCUACUCGAACAUUGAGUAAAAGUGUCAGUGAUGCUAUAAAGAUUUAAGGGAAGACUUAAACUACCCCGAAUUUGAAGGUUUCUAAGGUAGACAGUAAAUUUUUUCUAGAAUUCAUAACAAAAUGAUAAUAUACAUAUUUGGUCAACAAUUGAAUAAUAUCCCAAUUUCACAAAGCUAGAUAAAAACAGGCUUGAGGAGAAUGUAUAUUGAGUAUGUUAUUGAAGAGAAAUACUUGAAGUAAAUUUCAACUUACAGGCGCUCCCUAGAUCACUCUGAAUUAUAUUUUGCGGUAUCACGAGCAAGGGAGGUUAUAAUAAUAACCCAACUGCCAGGAAACUUGAGACAUCUUACAAAAGGCUACUGAUCCACAAUGAAAUAUAUCAUCAAAUACUGGCAAUGCCAUAAAUUUAGAUAUGGUGACAAUUUUAACUCGUGGGUCAGGAAAAAAAAUCAUUAACGAAUCUGGAGAAAAUUUGGAGGGAAAAGAGGAGUUUUUAGCAUUCAUAAAAAAAACCAGGGAAGAUAUAGAAAAUUAUAACUUCCAUGCUAGCUCAGCAUGGAAUCCAACUAUGUAUGUUGAGGAUGUUGUCGCUUAUAUUUCUGGUUUUGUCACCAGAGGUGUUCUUAAAUGCAUUAAAUGAGCAAAUAUUUUAGUGGGCAAUUUGUCUUUGUCUGCUCUACGGAGGAAUGGUUAUAGGUGUUUGCAGGGCUGCUGAAAAAUAUUUUAUGUUCUAUGACAAAACUACGGGUGUUUUAGAAUCUUAAGUUAGAGAUCCAAUCACGCCUCUGAUGACAAACACCAUGAAAAAUUUUCAUUCGACAACAUUUGAAGUUUUUGGUAAUCAACUGUAUGAUGAUGAUCCCCUGGAGGGUAAUUGCAUGGACCUUGUCAAACUCCUCCUCAAAAACUAUUUUAAACUUCAGAUUCAUUAUGAAACAGUUAAAAACUCAUUCUCUUCAGGAAUGAAUAAAUUUUUGUAUAUAUAUAUAUAUAUAUAUUUAUUUUAUUUGUUUUUUAAUUUUCAUGUAAAAAAAAAUCACGAUUCCAUUAGUGUGAUUUUCUUUAAAUGCCAGAUUGAAUUUUUAGAAUUGUGAAAAUAUUGUUUCAUUUGAGAAUUUUGCAGAGGAAUUAGAGGCUUAUAAUGUUGUUUUCCUUUAUUUUUGCAGGUUUGUUUGUAUACUUAUUGUUGCUUUUGUGAAUGAAUACCUCUAUUUUUGCAGGUUUGUUAUUGUAUUCUGAUUGUUGCUUUUGUGAAUAAAUACCUUUAUUUUUGCAGAGAAGCUCAAUUUAGUCUCAAUUCAAUCAAAAUAGAACUUAUUAUAAAACAAAAUUUUCUGCAUCUACUCGUAUUUCACCAAUCAUGGAAAAACUGAGAUUUGAUUUCGUUGUGAAACCUGCGGCAGAUGAAAAAUCAAAUAUUAUAUGUGUUACUUCAAUAGCAACAGUCAAUGGAAAGGUUUUUGGAGUACCAGAUGAAUAUUAACCAGUAAAUUUGCAUCAGUACCUUAUUAAUACUCCAAAUUAAGUAAAAUAGAAAAAAUCCUUAACAAAGAGAUAUCAAAGAAGAAAAAUAUGGAUAAACUCAACAGGAGAUAAAUCGAAAACGUCUUUAGACGAAGAGAAAAAUUUACAAUUUGAUGAUGCUCAGUGCAAAGUUUGGAAGAACUAUUAGAGAAAUUAAUUGACAAUAAGCCAGCAUAAUUAUAAUCACAUAAAUUAGGACAGAUUGCAAAUGACUUUUAUGAUUUACUGACAAAAAUUUGAAUGCAAACCAAUGGAUUGAAGAUUUCAAUAAAUAAUGUGAUCGUUUUCAAAUCAAUGAGGACAAAAACAAAAUUAUAAUUUUAAAAUAUUUUUUGCAAUAUUCCGGUUCAGAUUGGUACAGUUGCAUGAUGAUUAUAUAUUCGAUAGAAUCAGAAUCGAAUAAAUGGGAGAGAAAUUUUUGUGGAACGUUCACGAAUAGAGGAUGGUCACUGGCUAGGUAUGCUUUAGCUUUCAAAUAUCAAGCAGGUUCUUUGCAAUGAAAAAGCGAAAAAUUAUAGUUAGAAGUGAGAAAAUCAAUUGACACUGGAACACACAUAGCAUGUGGCCGGCCUAAUUAUGUUGUUGACAAAAUUGAUAGGGAAACUCUACAAGGAACCGAAGAUCUUCUCAGUGAGAUUGGGAAAUUAGGAUAUCUGGUUAUAAGAAUAGGAAAUAUGAUAAAGGAUGAAAUAUAAAUUCUGACGAAAGACCUAAACGGAAUGAAGAAAAAAAACCAUGUCGAAUCUGCGUAAUCGAAAAAAAAGGGAAACUUUAUCAUCCUGAGAAAAAUUGUUGGUACUACGAGGAAAAUCACAGAGGAAAUUUGAAGACUCUGAAUAAUACUGUAUUGGAAAUUGAACAAAAUGAGAUUAAUCCGAAAAAACUGGAUGUUCCACCAUUAAAAAAGAUUCUGAUGAACAAGAAGAAGAAAAUA